GGCAAGGUUAAGCACUUAAGGUGUGGAGCCGAAGGGAAACCAAGUCUGAAUAGGGCGUCAAGUCAGUAUCCGUAGACCCGAAACCGGGUGAUCUACCCAUGUCCAGGUUGAAGUUGCCGUAAAAGGCAAUGGAGGACCGAACGCACAUCCGUUGAAAAGGGUGGCGAUGAGGUGUGGGUAGGGGAGAAAUUCCAAUCGAACCCGGAGAUAGCUGGUUCUCCUCGAAAUAGCUUUAGGGCUAGCCUCAUUUUAGUCUUAUGGAGGUAGAGCACUGAAUUUCCGCGGGGGCGUCAAAGCUUACCAAAGAAUAUCAAACUCCGAAUGCCAUGUAGAUGAUGAACGGGAGUCAGACUGCACGAGAUAAGUUGGGCAGUCAAAAGGGAAAGAGCCCAGACCACCAGCUAAGGUCCCAAAGUGUGUGUUAAGUGGAAAAGGAUGUGGGAUUUCAAAGACAACUAGGAUGUUGGCUCAGAAGCAGCCACACAUUCAAAGAGUGCGUAAC
rnacentral:rRNA from 1 species